rnacentral:rRNA from 1 species
UACGUAGGCAGCAAGCGUUGUUCGGAGUUACUGGGCGUAAAGGGUGCGUAGGCGGCUUUUUAAGUUUGGUGUGAAAUCUCCCGGCUCAACUGGGAGGGUGCGCCCGAAUACUGAGAAGCUAGAGUGUGGGAGAGGAAAGUGGAAUUCCUGGUGUAGCGGUGAAAUGCGCAGAUAUCAGGAGGAACACCGGUGGCGAAGGCGGCUCUCUGGACCGAUACUGACGGCUGAGGCGCGAAAGCGUGGGGAGCAAACGGGG